rnacentral:rRNA from 1 species
GGCGGCGCACAUAAGACAUGCAAGUCGAACGGACUUAACCGAAGUAUUUAUAUUUUGGAGCGGUUAGUGGCGGACUGGUGAGUAACACGUAAGCAACCUGCCUAUUAGAGGGGAAUAACAGUGAGAAAUCAUUGCUAAUACCGCAUAUGCUGUGAGUAUCGCAUGAUACAAACAGGAAAGGAGCAAUCCGCUAAUAGAUGGGCUUGCGUCUGAUUAGAUAGUUGGUGGGGUAACGGCCUACCAAGUCGACGAUCAGUAGCCGAACUGAGAGGUUGAACGGCCACAUUGGGACUGAGAUACGGCCCAGACUCCUACGGGAGGCAGCAGUCGGGAAUAUUGCACAAUGGAGGGAACUCUGAUGCAGUGACGCCGCGUGCAGGAAGAAGGUUUUCGGAUUGUAAACUGCUUUAAACAGGGAAGAAACAAGACAGUACCUGUAGAAUAAGCUCCGGCUAACUACGUGCCAUCAGCCGCGGUAAUUCGUAAGGAGCAAGCGUUAUCCGGAUUUAUUGGG